UGGCAGACGGCUGAGUAACACAUGGGAAUCUACCUCAAACUCGAGAAUAGCCCAUCGAAAGGUGGUGUAAUACUCGAUAGUUCCGUUUACGGUAAAGCUCCGGCGGUUUGAGAUGAGCCCAUGUCCUAUCAGGUUGUUGGUGGGGUAAUUGCCUACCAAGCCUAUGACGGGUAGCUGGUUUGAGAGGAUGAUCAGCCAGACUGGGACUGCGAUACGGCCCAGACUCCUACGGGAGGCAGCAACUAGGAAUCAUGCGCAAUGGACGAAAGUCUGACGCUGCGACGUCGCGUGAGGGAUGAAGGUCUUCGGAUCGUAAACCUCUUUUAUCUGGGAACAAGUUCUGAGUGUACCAGAUGAAUAAGUGCCUGCCAACCACGUGCCAGAAGCAUCGGUAAUGCGUGGGGCACGAGCGUUAUCCGGAUUUACUGGGCGUAAAGAGAUGCGUAGGCGCCUUUUUAAGUCACUUGUAAAAUCUCCCCGCUCAACGGGGAAACUGCAAGUGAUACUGAAUUGGUUGAGUCAAGUAGAGGAGAGGGGAAUUCCUGGUGGAGCGGUUAAAUGCGUUGAUAUCAGGAGGAAUACCAAGUGCGAAGGCACCUCUCUGGACUUGUACUGACGCUAAGGCUCGAAAGUGUGGGGAGCAAAACGGAUUAGAUACCCGUGUAGUCCACACUGUAAACGAUCCCUGCUAGAUGUU
rnacentral:rRNA from 1 species